rnacentral:rRNA from 1 species
UACGGGGGGGGGCAAGCGUUGUUCGGAAUUACUGGGCGUAAAGGGCUCGUAGGCGGCCAACUAAGUCAGACGUGAAAUCCCCAGGCUCAACCUGGGAACUGCGUCUGAUACUGGAUGGCUUGAAUCGGGAGAGGGAUGCAGAAUUCCAGGUGUAGCGGUGAAAUGCGUAGAUAUCUGGAGGAAUACCGGUGGCGAAGGCGGCAUCCUGGGACCGGAUGUGACGCUGAGGAGCGAA